rnacentral:misc_RNA from 1 species
GAUGAAGAACGUAGCGAAAUGCGAUACGUAGUGUGAAUUGCAGAAUUCAGUGAAUCAUCGAAUCUUUGAACGCACAUUGCGCCCGCCAGUAUUCUGGCGGGCAUGCCUGUUCGAGCGUCAUUUCAACCAUCAAGCCCUGCUUGCGUUGGGGUCCGCGGCUGCCCGCAGGCCCUGAAAACCAGUGGCGGGCUCGCUAGUCACACCGAGCGCAGUAAUACAUCUCGCUUUGGGCGUGCGGCGGGUUCUUGCCGUUAAACACCCCCUUUUUACCAAGGUUGACCUCGGAUCAGGUAGGAAUACCCGCUGAACUUAAGCAUAUCAAUAAGCGGAGGA